CCAUAUUUAAACCCCUCUCUUUCCCAUUUCAACCGUGCUUUCAUUUCUCCCCCAAUUUCAGACUUUCUUCUUCUCCUUCCCCAUUUCAUCUGUGCGUCCCCUUCUUCCUCCUUUUCAUUUUUUCCUCAACUCCUUCCCCGUUUGCUUUGGAUCACCAGUUUGAAGAUCAACAUUCUGAAGAACUCCAAUUCGAGGAGGAAGAGCUUGAAGAGCAAGGACACUGGAAAUCGCAGAUCCAUAAUUUU